GCCUUGUUAGCUCAAUUGGUAGAGCGUGAGACUUUUAAUCUCAAGGUUGCGGGUUCGAGCCCCGCAUAGGGCU
rnacentral:tRNA from 1 species